UGGGCUCGUAAGUGGAAUCUAAAAGGCACAGUAUGAAAAUAAGGAAUGAAAGUGACAAGAGAAAAGGAAUCAGCUUGAGAUUUUUAUGCCCACCUAUGAUUGAGGGCAUCAUCCCAAAGAGGUCUCAAAGUCAUGCAACAGCACCACUGCAACUUGAAAGUAAUCUAUGACUUGAAAAUGGAGCUACAUGCCUCACAGCAGCCAUUAUUGCUAUGAUGAAAAAUCAAGGCACAGAUAUCAUCAGAAAAGGAACAAAGAAGAGAUGCCUCUUAUGAAUUACCCAAUACUCACUCUUCAAGUUUAUGCUACCAUUUAA